GAUGAACGCUGGCGGCGUGCCUAAUACAUGCAAGUCGAGCGAACAGACGAGGAGCUUGCUCCUCUGACGUUAGCGGCGGACGGGUGAGUAACACGUGGAUAACCUACCUAUAAGACUGGGAUAACUUCGGGAAACCGGAGCUAAUACCGGAUAAUAUAUUGAACCGCAUGGUUCAAUAGUGAAAGACGGUUUUGCUGUCACUUAUAGAUGGAUCCGCGCCGCAUUAGCUAGUUGGUAAGGUAACGGCUUACCAAGGCAACGAUGCGUAGCCGACCUGAGAGGGUGGUCGGCCACACGGGAACUGAGACACGGUCCAGACUCCUACGGGAGGCAGCAGUAGGGAAUCUUCCGCAAUGGGCGAAAGCCUGACGGAGCAACGCCGCGGGAGUGAUGAAGGUCUUCGGAUCGUAAAACUCUGUUAUUAGGGAAGAACAAAUGUGUAAGUAACUAUGCACGUCUUGACGGUACCUAAUCAGAAAGCCACGGCUAACUACGUG
rnacentral:rRNA from 1 species